rnacentral:rRNA from 1 species
AACGAACGCUGGCGGCAGGCUUAACACAUGCAAGUCGAGCGCCCCGCAAGGGGAGCGGCAGACGGGUGAGUAACGCGGGGGAAUCCACCCAUCUCUACGGAAUAACGCAUGGAAACGUGUGCUAAUACCGUAUACGUCCUUCGGGAGAAAGAUUUAUCGGAGAUGGAUGAGGCCGCGUUGGAUUAGCUAGUUGGUGGGGUAAAGGCCUACCAAGGCGACGAUCCAUAGCUGGUCUGAGAGGAUGAUCAGCCACACUGGGACUGAGACACGGCCCAGACUCCUACGGGAGGCAGCAGUGGGGAAUAUUGGACAAUGGGCGCAAGCCUGAUCCAGCCAUGCCGCAUGAGUGAUGAAGGCCCUAGGGUUGUAAAGCUCUUUCACCGGUGAAGAUAAUGACGGUAACCGGAGAAGAAGCCCCGGCUAACUUCGUGCCAGCCGCCGCUGUAAAAC